rnacentral:rRNA from 1 species
GACGUAGGGCGCGAGCGUUGUCCGGAUUUAUUGGGCGUAAAGAGCUCGUAGGCGGCUUGCCGCGUCGUCCGUGAAAACUUGGGGCUCAACCCCAAGCUUGCGGUCGAUACGGGCAGGCUAGAGUUCGGUAGGGGAGACUGGAAUUCCUGGUGUAGCGGUGAAAUGCGCAGAUAUCAGGAGGAACACCGGUGGCGAAGGCGGGUCUCUGGGCCGAUACUGACGCUGAGGAGCGAAAGCGUGGGGAGCGAACAGG